rnacentral:rRNA from 1 species
AGCGAACGCUGGCGGCAGGCUUAACACAUGCAAGUCGAGCGGGCACUUCGGUGUCAGCGGCAGACGGGUGAGUAACACGUGGGAACGUACCCUUCGGUUCGGAAUAACGCUGGGAAACUAGCGCUAAUACCGGAUACGCCCUUUUGGGGAAAGGUUUACUGCCGAAGGAUCGGCCCGCGUCUGAUUAGCUAGUUGGUGGGGUAAUGGCCUACCAAGGCGACGAUCAGUAGCUGGUCUGAGAGGAUGAUCAGCCACACUGGGACUGAGACACGGCCGAGACUCCUACGGGAGGCAGCAGUGGGGAAUAUUGGACAAUGGGCGCAAGCCUGAACCAGCCAUGCCGCGUGAGGGAUGAAGGCCGUAGGGUUGUAAAGCUCUUUUGUCCGAGACGAUAAUGACGGUACCGGAAGAAUAAGCCCCGGCUAACUUCGUG